GGAGAGCCCGGGAGAGGCCCUUAACCCUGGAGGAAAUGUGCAACCCGGUGUGGGGAGGAGAUGAGAGGAACCAAGACGUGCGGGGAGGCCAGGCCUGGGAGAGACGCCUAAGGCGACCGUUCUGGACGCUUCCCUGGCUCCCCUGCACGUCCCCGCCUGCAGGAGGCCCAGGUUGGCCAGCACUUGGACCCUGUGAAGCAGAUAUCACUCUGCCCGGGACCCGGGUUUUACUGAAUCCACUAUGGAAGCUGCUGGGAUCGGCACCCCCUCCCGCCUCUGCCACCGGCCUGGAAUCCUGUGGGUUGAACCGGGGUCAGCCCUGGGAGCUCCUGUGGGGGACACUCGUGGAAAUGACCUGGAAUAAGAUCAGCAAGUGGAUCUUGGCUCCCCUCUGUGCUGGGCCGGGGGCUGCGUGGGGAGACUCUCAGGGGCCGAGGUCCUCCCUGAGCCCCUGCCCGGAGACAGGUGGGCGAACGGCGUGCCCCUGGGGACCCCGGGCAGCACGUGUUCUCAGAAGAGGCCAGGAGAGUGAGGUGGAGGAGGACGGAGCCGCAGAAUGGGCCUGACUCAGCCUGGAGCCACCUGGCAGGAGUUUAAACCAAAGGAGAACUUAACCACUGAGCUAUAUCCCCAGAACAUUUUAUUUUUUAUCUUAGACAGAGCCUCACUAAGUUUCUGAGGCUGACCUUGAAUUUGUGAUCCUCCUUCCUCAGUCUCUCGAACAGCUGGGAUUACAGGCAUGUCCUACUGUGUCUGGCUUAAAAAAAACAUAUAUGUAUUUUUAAUUGAAGAAUGACAUUGCAUGUUUCUGUGUGUACCAUGUGAUAUUUUGAAGUAUGUACAAGGCGAUCCGAGUCUACUACCCGUGGUUUCAGUUACCCGUCAUCCACUGUGGUCUGAGCAUUUUAAAUGUAAAAUUAC